ensembl:antisense Gm17227 predicted gene 17227
AUACCAAGAGCAUUCUGGGUAGUAGAGAACAGAAAAACUGCUCUGUAGUUCCUUGUAGGAAGCUCCCCCUCAGACUCCUUGAGAUAUGUUAACUUGGAGAACACCUCCAUUCCCUAUCAUUCUGUUGUAACAAGUCUUCAAAGAGCUGCUUGCUUUCUUCAGCCACAGUAGAUGCCUCCUUGACUGUGAGUACCAGCAGACCACGCAACUGAAGCUAUCAGUGUGGUUUACUCAUCCAGUUUCUGUGCUACAUCCCAUAGCAGAGACGAGCAGGAGAUCUAGCAGUGAGAGGUGCCUGCAGGCCACAAAGCCUCACAGCAGCGGUCAGAGCCUGCCUGCCUGGGAAGAGUAGGCAGCAUGAAAGUCCCAGGAAGACAAUAUGACUAUUUCAGCUUCCAAGAGAAGUGAAUGAUGCAGGGAAGAGCCAAUUCAGCCAGGUGGCAGCAAUCUGGCUCUGGGCUUCCUGGCCUCUGACAGGGACGUGCAGGACGACCCUUGGAGAGAAAUGGGUCACUUCUGCGUCUUGUUAGAUGGACCGUUACACAGACUGAGAGGACGCUGAUUGCUGAAGGAGGCAGCCAGCCAAGUCUGUAGCUACCCACCUCUGAAUUUAUUGAAGACAGGGAAGAAAAGAACCCCAAGAGAGGAAUGUGAAUGCCAUAUUCUAAAAGGAAGUUCUAAUUGGCAAUGAGCAUGGAAAACUUACCUGGAAUUACAAUCAAGCUGGGCACAAGAGUACUACUGUCCCGUCCUAUUCCUCUACCUAGUCCAUGCUACUCAUCAAAGACAAAGAGUCUGGCAGGAAUAAAGAAGCUGCUAAACACAAGUCUUAAUAAACGGUAAAAUCAGCAGUGGUGGCGCACACCUUUAAUCCUAGUACUUGGGAGGCAGAGGCAGGCGGAUUUCUGAGUUUGAGGCAAGCCUGGUCUACACAGUGAGCUCCAGGACAGCCAGGGCUACACAGAGACCCUUAUCUCAAAAAACCAAAGAAGAAAAGAAGAAGAAAAGAAAGAAAG